rnacentral:lncRNA from 1 species
CAUGUUUUAGACAUGAUGAUACUGGACUUGAGAUGGAUAUUUACGUUUGCUUGUCAUUGUGCUCAUUCGCACAUGCUUGUGAGGGUCGUUCCCCACAAGCCGACACUCCGGAGAUAGCCAUCGCGACAUAAACUCACCCGUGCGGAAUUGGGCGCCGAAAUGUGAUGCCGUAUAUUAUAUGUUGCAUAUUAUUUUUGCGUAAUAUAUUAAACUGUACGUAAUUUAGUGUAAAAAUCAUGUAAAAUGUGUAUUAACAAUGCAUAUGUUGCACUACUUAUACAGAUAUUGCACUAUUUUGAAGAGCUUGUUGCACUAUUUGAGAGGAUGUUGCACUCUUUCAUCUUAUUAAUUAUUCUUUAUUCUUUUUAUUUUGGCUUGAAUAAGGCUUCUCGUUUCACGAGAAAGGUACAUAUAAUUAUGGCUUAGCAGUUGUCAUUUCCAAGAAGUUUAACACUUUAUUUAAUAUGUAAUGAAAUUUAAUUUUCAAAAAGAAAAAGUGCAACACACAUUUAAAUGGUGCAACAUCCUCUCAUAAUAGUGCAACAUUUACACAAAUAGUGUAAAUAUCUGUACAAAUAGUAUAAAAUAUGCACCGU